rnacentral:rRNA from 1 species
GACGAACGCUGGCGGCGUGCCUAAUACAUGCAAGUCGAGCGAAUCACUGGGAGCUUGCUCCCGGUGGUUAGCGGCGGACGGGUGAGUAACACGUGGGCAACCUGCCUGUAAGACUGGGAUAACACCGGGAAACCGGUGCUAAUACCGGAUAAUCCUUUUCCUCUCAUGAGGAAAAGCUGAAAGUCGGUUUCGGCUGACACUUACAGAUGGGCCCGCGGCGCAUUAGCUAGUUGGUGAGGUAACGGCUCACCAAGGCGACGAUGCGUAGCCGACCUGAGAGGGUGAUCGGCCACACUGGGACUGAGACACGGCCCAGACUCCUACGGGAGGCAGCAGUAGGGAAUCUUCCACAAUGGACGAAAGUCUGAUGGAGCAACGCCGCGUGAGCGAUGAAGGCCUUCGGGUCGUAAAGCUCUGUUGUUAGGGAAGAACAAGUACCGGAGUAACUGCCGGUACCUUGACGGUACCUAACCAGAAAGCCACGGCUAACUACGUGCCAGCCGCCGCCGUAACAC